CUAAAAUCUUUGGCAAAUUGAUAAGAAAAUAUGGAUGUGGUACACAUGCAAACUGAUAUGAGAAAUUUAAAUGUGCACUUUGUUUCUCUUACUGGCAUAAACACACCUCACACCUGCUGUUUGUGAUGCUCUGUUGCUCUUUGCAUUCUUUCACUUUUGUGUUUUGGUACUUUUUUGAGACCUGGUUGUUACUCAAUGCUUCCGCUUGCUGCUUGCCCUGAUCACACUGCCUUAUCAUGCAUAACAACUGUGCAACAGACUUCCUGCCCUAUUUUCGCCUUACUGAACAUUUACCAGAAUCUGAAGUGCCAUGGAUUGUGUCGCCAAACAUCACAUUGUACCCAGUCUCGGAUGGGGAAUUUGGAAUCUUACCAAUAAGGCUCAUCUGGACCCUAAAUGGCUUCUUUCCAGACAAACUGGCUUUGGAGUGGUUUCAGGAUAAAUCACCACUGUGCCAAAACAAGAAGCCAAGCAGAACGAAGCUACAAAGUGAAGGGACAGAGCAGAAAACCUUUAGCCUGAGCAGCAAACUCUCAGUGUGGGGACAAGGAUCAACUUUUACCUGCAAAGCUAAUCACAAUUAUACUGAAUAUAAGAAGACAAUAAGCAUUUGUCACAAAAUUCACCUUCCAUUCAUGUGGAGAUUCCCAAGUUCAAGACUUAAGCGUCAGACUCUAAUGUGCAAGGAACAUGUUGGGUCCACACUAAUUUUGAUGCCAUGAUCUCCUGGCUGAGAGAUUGGCGCCACAAAUGAAAGAAAUGUGCAGAGAGUAAAACACAACUCUUAUUAUCAGUAA